GACGAACGCUGGCGGCGUGCUUAACACAUGCAAGUCGAACGGAAAGGCCUCUUUCGGGGGGUACUCGAGUGGCGAACGGGUGAGUAACACGUGAGUAACCUGCCCUUGACUUUGGGAUAACUUCAGGAAACUGGGGCUAAUACCGGAUAGGAGCUCCUGCUGCAUGGUGGGGGUUGGAAAGUUUCGGCGGUUGGGGAUGGACUCGCGGCUUAUCAGCUUGUUGGUGGGGUAGUGGCUUACAAAGGCUUUGACGGGGAGCCGGCCUGAGAGGGUGACCGGGCCUUAUGGGGACAGGAGACGGCCCAGACGUCGCUGGGCGGAGGACGGGGGGAAACGUGCUAGAGGGGUGGGGGCCGGGUGUGCCAAAGGCGUGCGGGGGAAGGCGGCCUGUGGGUUGUCAAUCGGUUUCUAUGUGGAAAAAGACGUGAGUGACGGUAGUGGGAAAAGAAGCACCGGCUAAUUACGAG
rnacentral:rRNA from 1 species